ACCUGGAUAGCUCAGUUGGUUAAGAGUGUGGAGCUCAUAACAUCCAGGUUGCAGGUUCGAUCCAAGCUGCAUAUU